AUGGCAAAUAUUCAAACUAUUGAUCCCCUAAAGGAGAGGAACUCGUUUGUAACACUAAGACAUACAAACUAUGGAUCCCCUUUUUUAAAACAAAGGUGUGGAACUAGUAUGUGCGUGAGACGUCAACAUAAACACAAACACUCAUUUUUGUUUAAAACUUACUAACUCAAAAGAGAAGGCCCGAGAGAAAGUGAGAGGACUGAUGAUAAAAAUGUGUGGGAGGAGAAUACCGAAAUAGAAGUUAUUGCGUCAUUCACAGCCAAUCAAAGAACACCAAGUGUCACCUGUGACCUAUACGAUAUAAAAUAAGACACCUGAAACUGUAAGUUCAAAAUCAAAAAGUAAUGGCUGCCCCAAUAGAGGAUGUCCUCAUUGAGGUCCAUCCAUCUGAUGGUAAGUUGGGAAUGUGUAACCCUAUAGUGAUAACUAUAAUGCCUUUUGUUUUUGGUAGAUGAACUUGGUAAGUUGUUGGUACAUGUAUGUUUGUGUUGUACAUUAAUAGCAAAAAAUAAUUGUAUUUAUAGUAGAAAAAGAUGAAGUAAG